UACGGGGGGGGCAAGCGUUGUUCGGAAUUACUGGGCGUAAAGGGUUCGUAGGUGGCUUGUUAAGUCAGACGUGAAAUCCCUCGGCUCAACCGGGGAACUGCGUCUGAGACUGAUGAGCUCGAGUGCAGGAGAGGAACGCGGAAUUCCAGGUGUAGCGGUGAAAUGCGUAGAUAUCUGGAGGAACACCGGUGGCGAAGGCGGCAUCCUGGACCAAUUCUGACGCUGAGGAGCGAAAGCCAGGGGAGCAAACGGG
rnacentral:rRNA from 1 species